CAAAAAUAAGGGAAGUCUGAAAACCUGUCACAGACAUUAUGUACCCGGAAGCUUGCCAGCUGGCAGAAAUGGUGGCUAACCAGCAUGCUCGACCAUUAGCAAGAAAAGUCUGCUCCCAAGAAUAUAAAUGUGUAUUUUGAAGGAUUACCCACUGUCACAGGGUUAUAUGACCUUCUUAAAAGAGAAACAAACAAUGAUCUUGUAUCUCUGCCUGCAAGGAAGAAAGAGGCAAGAUAGUGUAAGGCUCAGGAGCCUGGACUUUGCAGCCAGACUGCCUGGGUUUGGAUGGCAAGGCUGCUGCUGAGCUGCCACCUGACUCCUGGAUUGUGUCCUCAUAUGUUAAAUAAGGUACUAAUAGGACCUGGCAUGUAGAGUUGUGCACGGGCUACUAUAAUAAAUAAAACACACACUUCUGUGAUUUAACUAGAAGUGUAUUUCUACUUCACAAGUAGUCCAAAACUGAUACUUCUGAUUGUCAAGCAUCAUCCCUUCAGUGAUUAAGAGACUCACUGUGUAUGGCUCCACUAUCUUCAACAAAAGGUAUCCAAGGUCAUGUUUCCAUCCAAUUUCAGAUGAGAAAGGUUUUUAUGGGCCAGGCCUGAUAAUGGUGCACAUCCCUUCCACUCCCAUUCCAUUGGUCAGACUCAGUCGCCUGACCACAUUUAAGCAUAUGACUAUUUAGGAAAUAGCUGUGUAAUCAGGAAGAAGAGGAGUCGGUUUGGUGGACAGCUAGUCUCUCACCAUCACAAGAUUUAUGCAAAAUCAGUGAGUUAUUAUGGAUAAAGUAUUCACUUUGAACAUUACAUGCACACUUCUAAUGUUUUUCCUAACAUUCUGUCAUGUAAACUUUCAAAUAUACAAAACUGUUGAAAAAAAUUUUAUAGUAAACUCUGCACCAUCUACCACCUAGAUCCUACAUUUACACUUUAUUCUGUUUGCUUUAUCACAUUCCUAUCUACCUAUCCAUCCAUCUUGCUCUCUAUCCAUCAGUACACCUCAUUUAUUCAAAGUAAGUUGCUUGUUGCUUUGUUACAUUUUCCCACUAAAUACUUCAAUGUAUGUGUCAUCAGGUGUUCAAGAUUUGUUUAAACUUGUUUCUUUUGAGGUAAUAUUACAAAAAAUCCAAUACACAAAUCUUAAGUGUAGUAUUUAAUGAGUUUUGAUAAAUGUAUGCACCAGUAUGACUGAUAUGGUUUGGCUGUGUCCCCACCCAAAUCUCAUCUUGAAUUGUAGCUCCCAUAAUUCCCAUAUGUGGCCGGAGGGACCUGGUGGGAGAUAAUUGAAUCAUGGAGGCAGUUUCCCCCAUACUGUUCUCAUGGUAGUGAAUAAGUCUCAUGAGAUCUGAUGGUUUUAUAAGGGGAACCCCCUUGUGCUUGGUUCUCAUGCUCUCUUGCUGCUGCCAUGUAAGACAUGCCUUUCACCUUCUGUCAUGAUUGUGAGGCCUCCCUAGCCACGUGGAACUGUGAGUCCAUUAGAUGUCUUUUUCUUUAUAAAUUACCUACCCAGUGUCAGGUAUGUCUUUAUCAGCGUGUGAAAACAGACUAAUAGAAUGAUCAAACACCUAUUAAUAAAUAGAUUAUGACUAUUACAUUAGAAAUUUCCCUCUUGCCUUCCCAACAACCAACACUCACUGACCUUCUCCCCAACUUUGUCCUCACUGAACACAAUGAUUGUUCUGAUUAUCUCCACCAUAAAUUAGUUGUGUCUGCUCUAGAAUGUAAUAUAAAUACUAUAAUACAGUAUUAAAUACUAAAGUACCUUUAUUUUGUGUGAGAUUUCUUUUAUUAAGCAUGGUGUUUUGGGGAUUUAAUCUUGUUGCAUGCAUCAAUAAUUCAGUCCUUUUAAUUAAUGAGUGGCAUUCCAUUAUAUGAGUGUAUCAGAGGGUCCACACCACCACUUUCCUAUUGUUGGACACAAGAGCUAUUAUGAAUAAAGUGUCAUAAACAC
rnacentral:lncRNA from 10 species